rnacentral:rRNA from 1 species
AGAAUUGAUCUGGUUCAGGACGAACGCUGGCGGCGUGCCUAACACAUGCAAGUCGAACGGAGAUACUUUGAAGCUUGCGAUAAAGUAUCUUAGUGGCGGACGGGUGAGUAACGCGUGGGUAAUCUGCCCAUAAGUGGGGAACAACGGUUGGAAACGACUGCUAAUACCGCAUAAUCUGCCUUAGGGGUAGGAAAGGUGGCCUCUUAACAAUGCUGCCGCUUAUGGAUGAGCCCCGCGUCUGAUUAGCUAGUUGGUGGGGUAAAGGCCUACCAAGGCGACGAUCAGUAGCCGGCCUGAGGGGGUGAACGGCCACACUGGGACUGAGACACGGCCCAGACUCCUACGGGAGGCAGCAGUGGGGAAUAUUGCGCAAUGGGGGAAACCCUGACGCAGCGACGCCGCGUGAGCGAAGAAGGCCUUAGGGUUGUAAAGCUCUGUUUUAGGGGACGAAUGUUCAUAGGAGUAAUAUGCCUGUGAAAUGACGGUACCCUAAGAGGAAGCCCCGGCUAACUACGUGCCAGCCGCUGC